UACGGGGGGGGCAAGCGUUUGUUCGGAAUUACUGGGCGUAAAGGGCUCGUAGGUGGCCAACUAAGUCAGACGUGAAAUCCCUCGGCUUAACCGGGGAACUGCGUCUGAUACUGGAUGGCUUGAGUUCGGGAGAGGGAUGCGGAAUUCCAGGUGUAGCGGUGAAAUGCGUAGAUAUCUGGAGGAACACCGGUGGCGAAGGCGGCAUCCUGGACCGGUAUUGACGCUGAUGCGCGAAAGCCAGGGGAGCAAACGGG
rnacentral:rRNA from 1 species